UCCUGGCUAAUGAGGUCAUAAAACUGCGCAUGCCUGGAGGCACCAGCAGUUCCACGUGUGGUCCUCAGCUUCUGGGUCUCUCAGGCCGUUGUGGCGGGAGCCCUGAGGGGAACAGCUUCCUGGCCUCUGGGUCACUCUUCCAGGGCGAACUCAGCAGUCUUGUGGUAGGCCUGCAUCUUCUGUUUCACCAGCACUUCUGGGAUUUGGUAAGCCUGAAGCUGAUGCUCAUACUUGCGAGGCAAAAGCCAAAAGGUGUUUGAAAGGACACAGAAGAUUUGAGUAGGGAAGAUGGCCAGGAGAGACUGCUGUCAGUCAGAGGCUGCUGUUCUAUAAGCAGCAAAGCGGAGAAACAGAGGAGACUGUGUCCCUGAAGACGUCAUUCAGAUGGGGUAACUGAGGCUCAGAGAAUUGACGUGGCUUACCUAAGGAGCCAGGGUAAAAGCCCGAUGCCAGGCAAGGCCAGCCUGAUGUGAGGAGCUGCAAAAUAACGUUGUGAAAAGGUGAUGGAGUGGAGGCAGCGGCCUCUCUGUGCAAGUGAAAGUCCGACAAUUCAGCUUUGGAAUUAUCCGAGGGUGACCAGAUUCUCGGAUUCAAAGGGGAAAGAGUGCUCCCUUGGAAGCUUGCUCUGCUGCUGACUGAUGCAGGGGGCUUUCUAGAAAUCCUGGAUCUUGUUUUCUCUGGCUGGCCUGGCUGAAUUUCAGAGGAGAUCGUGUAUCACUGGGCAGAGGGAGCCCUCCUCUCGAGGAGCUGGCAAAGCUGGCAGGAAGCAAGAGAGAGACAUGCUCAUAAAGGAAAAGAUGGACCCAUUUCUCAACCAAGACCCAUGUCACUAAGAAGCAGCUGGUCCUCGGGCUUCUGGAAGGGGCGGUGGGUGGCAUGCUUUGGCCCCUGCUUAAUGUUCCAAAUGAGCUGACCCAUUGUAGAUUGAGUGCUCAGGAAAGCUUGGCACAACCAAGGCCUGUUUUAUUUAUUUUUAAAAAUGUUAUUGCAGUACAGUUAAUUUACAAGUUAAUUUCUGGCACAUAGCAAAGUGACUAGUUAUACACAUAUAUAUGCAUUCUUUCUCAUUAUGGUUUAUUACAGGAUAUUGAAUAUAGUUCCCUGUGCUAUAAGUAGGACCUUGUUGUUUAUCCAUUCUAUUAAUAUAUAUAUAUAUAUAUAUAUUAGUUUACCUCUGUGAAUCCUAAACUUCGACUCCAUCCCUCCCCCCUAAUCUCCUUUGGCAACCACAAAUCUGUUCUCUAUGUCCAUCGAGUCUGUUUUUAGAUAUGUUCACUUGUGUUUUAUUUUAGAAUCCUCAUAGAAGUGAUAGGAGUUGUUUUCUUAAAUGGUUAAGUCUCCAGGAAGCUGCCACACCAUCUCUCAAACAAUUACACAGCCUUCUUCCCUGGAGACUUUUUCUGACUUUCCAGUUCUGGUCUUAGACAGGAAACUGAAAACUGCCAAAUUUAUUCUUCUUGCUCUGCCCCAAAUGUUCCAUUCUAACAUUAGCUCACACGUAACGAGGGGAGUGCUGACAUAGGGGAAGCAUUAAGGGUACAAGGAACUGGGCCUCUCUCCCCGUGGUUAAUACUGACAGCUGGGGAGUGGUCUGGCCUGGAAGGACACACACGUGUAAGUCAUGCAGAAGACGAGCCCCCUUAGCUGAAGUUUUGUGGGUUGACUUGGGCUUCCUCAUGUUUUUGCAAAGGGCAGGAAGCCCACUUUAUGCUCUGUAUAGGUUCCUAUAUUUAUUUAUUAAAAAAAAUUAAAAGAGAAUUUUUUUUUGACCUUGUUACAUGGUAUAUGGGAUCUUAGUUCCCCAAACCAGGGAUUGACCUGUGCCCUCCUACAUUGGAAGCAUGGGGUCUUUACCACUGGACACCAGGGAAGUUACACGAUUCCUACAUUUUUUGAUGCUUGUCAUUAUUCUAUGAGUUUAAGAUUAUAGAUUGACCAUUUUGGAGCUUUUUGCACAUCUGUGCACCAAUCUGUGUAACAGGGCAUUGAUUAACUUCAGUGCUACUAGAACACAUUUUCCUUCUUAUUCCUUUGAAAACAAGACCUAUCACAAACCUGACUUAACACAGAUCAAAUUAGAUGCUAUGAUGCACUCAUAAUGGGGACCUAUAUUCUUGCCUGGAAAAUCCCAUGGACAGAGGAGCUUGUCAGGCUACAGUCCAUGGGGUCACAAAGAGCUGGACAUGACUUAGUG